AUGGGAGUGGUGGCCCCAGGCAGCCAGCACGGGCGCCAGGGUCGCCGGCAGGACAGGAGAAGGCGCAGGUCCCUGCUCCCGGGGCGGGGCCCGGGCGGUGGAGACCCGACGGGUGCACGGAGGGAGGCGGCCGCCCGGGGCCCUCACCUGCCCAUGCUCUGGUGGGCCCGCGGCCUCCCGCAGUGCAACGGCCACUACCUGGCGCGGCGGCGGCGGCGGCGGCGGCUCCCCAGCCUGCGGGGCUCCUGGCGCGCGCAUCGGGACGGCCUGGCGGCUGCUCCCGCGCCACACUGCCGAGCGGCGCGGGCGGCGGCGGCGCGGCGGCGGCGGCGCCGGGCUCCAGGCCGCGGAGCUCGGGGCAGGCUGACCGGGAUUUCUGGUCGCUGCGGCGGCGGGUCCCCAGGCCCGCGGGGCCAGCCGCGCCGCCCCGCGCCCCGCGCCGGGGCAGGAGCGCACGGCAGGCCCAGGGGCGGCGCGCAGCCGGGCCUCGGCCGCCGGCCCGAGUCGGGCCCCGAGGACGACGUUCCGCCGGGCUCAGCGGGGCUGGGGGCCGCGCGCUCACGAGACCUCUGGGUCCUUUCCCCGCUCCACCGCCCGCUCGACGCAUGGGGAAGACUCCCUUCCCCGACCACAGCCCGCCCCGCGCUGACAGAAGCGGGCGCACAGCGUGCACGCGGUGUGCCACACCCCGCCUGUGGCGCCCGAGAGCCCCCAGGCUCCUCCCGGGGACCGCUUCUCCAGGCAGGGCCGCAGGAAGAGGGCGGCGAGGGCGGGGCAAGGACCCCGGCGACUGUGUGGGGGAUGGCCACGGUCAGGGUGCUCAGGAGGGUCGUGCUUCGCGCAGGGGGCCGACGUGUGUCCAAACACACUCGUCGGAACUCUGCAGGUGGAGGCGGGUCCCCACCUACCUUGGCCCUCCGAGUGUUCUCCAAGCCGGCUGGGAAGAUCCCGGCCGCAGGACAGGAGGGAGCGUGGGAGGCGCUUGGCGGCAGUCAGACCCUGGGGUCCUUUCUGCCCACACGCGCUGCCACGCGCACAGGUGGCGGUGGUGUGGGGAUGGCGGCCUUCAGCGCGGCGUUCCUGGCGGGCGGCCCCAGGGGGCAGGAGGGCCGCCUGGCCCCGGGGGCGGCACUGAAGCAGAGGGAGAGGGGGCCCACCGCCGUGGUGGGAAGCCCUGGGGAUGAGCGGAGGCCCACGGGGCUGGCGGUGGGGGUGGAGGGGGCGGAGCGGGGCACGCGUGUCAGGAGGUGGCCAUGGGUGAGGGCCAGGCGGCAGGCCUCGCGGUUGCGGGCAGCCCCUCCCCUCCCCUGGGAGCCCCGAGCCCAACGGUUGGAGCCCGCGCCCGCCCAGGCCCCGCCCAGGCCCCGCCCCAGCCCCGCCCAGGCCCCGCCCCCAGGCCGCCAGCCCGCCGUUGCCUAG
rnacentral:lncRNA from 1 species